GACGAACGCUGGCGGCGUGCCUAACACAUGCAAGUCGAGCGGAGAAUGCGAGAUGUUUACAUUGAGCAUUCUUAGCGGCGGACGGGUGAGUAACACGUGGGUAACCUGCCUCAGAGUGGGGGAUAGCCUUUCGAAAGGAAGAUUAAUACCGCAUAAGCUUGUAGCAUCGCAUGGUGCAGCAAGAAAAGGAGCAAUCCGCUCUGAGAUGGACCCGCGGCGCAUUAGCUAGUUGGUGAGGUAACGGCUCACCAAGGCCACGAUGCGUAGCCGACCUGAGAGGGUGAUCGGCCACAUUGGAACUGAGACACGGUCCAGACUCCUACGGGAGGCAGCAGUGGGGAAUAUUGCACAAUGGGCGAAAGCCUGAUGCAGCAACGCCGCGUGAGUGAUGAAGGCUUUCGAGUCGUAAAGCUCUUUGAUCAGGGAUGAUAAUGACAGUACCUGAAAAACAAGCCACGGCUAACUACGUGCCAGCAGCCGCGGUAAUACGUAGGUGGCGAGCGUUGUCCGGAAUUACUGGGCGUAAAGGAUGCGUAGGUGGAUAUUUAAGUGGGAUGUGAAAUCCCCGGGCUCAACCCGGGAACUGCAUUCCAAACUGGAUAUCUAGAGUGCAGGAGAGGAAAGCGGAAUUCCUAGUGUAGCGGUGAAAUGCGUAGAUAUUAGGAGGAACACCAGUGGCGAAGGCGGCUUUCUGGACUGUAACUGACACUGAGGCAUGAAAGCGUGGGUAGCAAACA
rnacentral:rRNA from 1 species